GAGGUCUUAGGUUAAGAAAACUGGGGGCCUUCAAAGUCCCUGAUGAUCGUUAUAUUGGGUUAGAUCUUG
rnacentral:tRNA from 1 species